rnacentral:misc_RNA from 1 species
CAGAGUCUCCGAACUCCAAACCUUUGUGAACAUACCACCGUUGCUUCGGCGGGACCCCCCCGGGACGGGCACUGCACGCCCCGGGCGCCCGCCGAGGGCCCCAAACCAUCUUAUCCACAGUGGACUCUUCAGAGUUUGAUAUACAAUCAAUCA